GAUGAACGCUGGCGGCGUGCCUAAUACAUGCAAGUCGAGCGAACAGACGAGGAGCUUGCUCCUCUGACGUUAGCGGCGGACGGGUGAGUAACACGUGGAUAACCUACCUAUAAGACUGGGAUAACUUCGGGAAACCGUAGCUAAUACCGGAUAAUAUAUUGAACCGCAUGGUUCAAUAGUGAAAGACGGUUUUGCUGUCACUUAUAGAUGGAUCCGCGCCGCAUUAGCUAGUUGGUAAGGUAACGGCUUACCAAGGCAACGAUGCGUAGCCGACCUGAGAGGGUGAUCGGACACACGGGAGCUGAGACACGGUCCAGACACCUGCGGGAGGCAACAGUAGGGAAUCUUCCGCAAGGGGCGAAAGCCUGACGGAGCAACGCCGCGUGAGUGAUGAAGGUCUUCGGAUCGUAGAACUCUGUUAUUAGGGAAGAACAAAUGUGUAAGUAACUAUGCACGUCUUGACGGUACCUAAUCAGAAAGCCACGGCUAACUACGUG
rnacentral:rRNA from 1 species